UGCAAGUCGAGCGGGGAAGGGUAGCUUGCUACCUGACCUAGCGGCGGACGGGUGAGUAAUGCUUAGGAAUCUGCCUAUUAGUGGGGGACAACAUUCCGAAAGGAAUGCUAAUACCGCAUACGCCCUACGGGGGAAAGCAGGGGAUCUUCGGACCUUGCGCUAAUAGAUGAGCCUAAGUCAGAUUAGCUAGUUGGUGGGGUAAAGGCCUACCAAGGCGACGAUCUGUAGCGGGUCUGAGAGGAUGAUCCGCCACACUGGGACUGAGACACGGCCCAGACUCCUACGGGAGGCAGCAGUGGGGAAUAUUGGACAAUGGGCGCAAGCCUGAUCCAGCCAUGCCGCGUGUGUGAAGAAGGCCUUUUGGUUGUAAAGCACUUUAAGCGAGGAGGAGGCUACUUGGAUUAAUACUCUAGGAUAGUGGACGUUACUCGCAGAAUAAGCACCGGCUAACUCUGUGCCAGCAGCCGCGGUAAUACAGAGGGUGCGAGCGUUAAUCGGAUUUACUGGGCGUAAAGCGUGCGUAGGCGGCUUUUUAAGUCGGAUGUGAAAUCCCUGAGCUUAACUUAGGAAUUGCAUUCGAUACUGGGAAGCUAGAGUAUGGGAGAGGAUGGUAGAAUUCCAGGUGUAGCGGUGAAAUGCGUAGAGAUCUGGAGGAAUACCGAUGGCGAAGGCAGCCAUCUGGCCUAAUACUGACGCUGAGGUACGAAAGCAUGGGGAGCAAACAGGAUUAGAUACCCUGGUAGUCCAUGCCGUAAACGAUGUCUACUAGCCGUUGGGGCCUUUGAGGCUUUAGUGGCGCAGCUAACGCGAUAAGUAGACCGCCUGGGGAGUACGGUCGCAAGACUAAAACUCAAAUGAAUUGACGGGGGCCCGCACAAGCGGUGGAGCAUGUGGUUUAAUUCGAUGCAACGCGAAGAAC
rnacentral:rRNA from 1 species